rnacentral:lncRNA from 10 species
UGUAAGUCCAAUUAAAUCUCUUUCUUUUGUAAAUUGCCCAGUCUUGGGUAUGUCUUUAUCAGCAGCAUGAAAACAGACUAAUAUAAUGAAUGUCCCGGGAUGGUAGAUUCCAAACUGUGCUCCUUGAAACCCCUAGGACUUUAGAUUUAAAUCAGAUCCAUGAAGUGGCCCAAGAGGAUCUUCAGAAACUUAGGAGGGAGUUUAAAGCUGUGGAUAGAACACAGGGUUACUGAUGAUUACACUUGGCUAUUGCUGUCAUUUGGUUCUUUUGAUCUUCACUUUGAGUCAAUGGAACUGUUCAGGCAUUCUGUAAGGAGGACAGACACCAGCGUGACACUGCCUCAGCAUUUCUU